rnacentral:rRNA from 1 species
CCAGACUCCUACGGGAGGCAGCAGUGGGGAAUAUUGCACAAUGGGCGCAAGCCUGAUGCAGCGACGCCGCGUGAGGGAUGGAGGCCUUCGGGUUGUAAACCUCUUUCGCCAGUGAAGCAGGCCUGUCCCUUGUGGGUGGGUUGACGGUAGCUGGAUAAGAAGCGCCGGCUAACUACGUGCCAGCAGCCGCGGUAAUACGUAGGGCGCGAGCGUUGUCCGGAAUUAUUGGGCGUAAAGAGCUCGUAGGCGGCUGGUCGCGUCUGUCGUGAAAUCCUCUGGCUUAACUGGGGGCUUGCGGUGGGUACGGGCCGGCUUGAGUGCGGUAGGGGAGACUGGAACUCCUGGUGUAGCGGUGGAAUGCGCAGAUAUCAGGAAGAACACCGGUGGCGAAGGCGGGUCUCUGGGCCGUUACUGACGCUGAGGAGCGAAAGCGUGGGGAGCGAACAGGAUUAGAUACCCUGGUAGUCCACGCCGUAAACGUUGGGCACUAGGUGUGGGGGGCCUUUUCCGGGUCUUCCGCGCCGUAGCUAACGCAUUAAGUGCCCCGCCUGGGGAGUACGGCCGCAAGGCUAAAACUCAAAGGAAUUGACGGGGGCCCGCACAAG